AUACGGAGGGUGCAAGCGUUACUCGGAAUCACUGGGCGUAAAGCGCGCGCAGGCGGGCUGAUAAGUUGGAUGUGAAAGCCUACGGCUCAACCGUAGAACCGCAUCCAAAACUGUCAGUCUAGAGUGUGGGAGAGGAAGAUGGAAUUAGUUGUGUAGGGGUAAAAUCCGUAGAGAUAACUAGGAAUACCAAAAGCGAAGGCAAUCUUCUGGAACACUACUGACGCUGAGGCGCGAAGGCGUGGGGAGCAAACAGGAUUAGAAACCCGGGUAGUCC
rnacentral:rRNA from 1 species